rnacentral:rRNA from 1 species
UACGUAGGGCGCAAGCGUUGUCCGGAAUUAUUGGGCGUAAAGAGCUCGUAGGCGGCUUGUCACGUCGGGUGUGAAAGCCCGGGGCUUAACCCCGGGUCUGCAUUCGAUACGGGCUGGCUAGAGUGUGGUAGGGGAGAUCGGAAUUCCUGGUGUAGCGGUGAAAUGCGCAGAUAUCAGGAGGAACACCGGUGGCGAAGGCGGUUCUCUGGGCCUUACCUGACGCUGAGGAGCGAAAGCAUGGGGAGCAAACAGG